CCUACGGGUGGCUGCAGUGAGGAAUAUUGGUCAAUGGGCGGAAGCCUGAACCAGCCAAGUAGCGUGCGGGAUGAAGGCUCUACGAGUCGUAAACCGCUUUUGCACGGGGAUAAAACCCUACACUCGUGGAGGUCUGCAGGUACCGUGCGAAUAAGGGCCGGCUAAUUCCGUGCCAGCAGCCGCGGUAAUACGGAAGGUCCGAGCGUUAUCCGGAUUUAUUGGGCUUAAAGGGUGCGUAGGCGGUCGUUCAAGUCAGCUGUAAAAUCGCGGGGCUCAACUGCGCCCCGCAGUUGAAACUGUACGCCUAGAGUGCAGAACAGGCAGGCGGAAUUCGUGGUGUAGCGGUGAAAUGCAUAGAGAUCA
rnacentral:rRNA from 1 species